rnacentral:rRNA from 1 species
AACCCCAGUCAAUAAACAUACGGCGUAAAGCGUGUUUAAAAAACUUAAUAAUAAAAUCAAAUCUUAGCUACGCUGUAAAAAGCCCCAGCUACUGUAAGCUCUAAUGCGAAAGUAAUUUUAAAAUUUUGAACACACGAUAGCUAGGACCCAAACUGGGAUUAGAUACCCCACUAUACCUAGCCUUAAACCCAAAGAGUCAGCCCAACAAGACUCUUCGCCAGAGUACUACUAGCCAAAGCUUAAAACUCAAAGGACUUGGCGGUGCUUUAUAUCCUCCUAGAGGAGCCUGUUCUAUAAUCGAUACACCCCGAUUAACCUCACCAACUCUUGCCAAUA